AUAAAUAAAUAAAAAUAAAAAAGAUGUGCAAUCUAGGUUAGGCCAAAACAACCAAAUCGCUCCGCAAAGAAAAAAGAAGAAGACCUAGCGUGGCGGCAAGCUAGCGAUUGAAGGUGACUGGCGGCAACAAAAGAAGGCAAUCGGUUCAAGUAUGUAUCGUCGAUGCUCUAUUCGUUCCCCCAUGCCGAUGCCAUGCUCAUCAAAUUUCCCCCAAUCCUGUGAUGUAUAUCAAUGCCACGCUCUGCUCCUCCCAAUCCUGUACUAUUUCCUAUUUGAAGACCUUUUUUGGAGGAAAAUUAGUUAUUAAUUUUAUUUAUUCAA
rnacentral:misc_RNA from 1 species